rnacentral:rRNA from 1 species
UACGUAGGGUCCAAGCGUUAUCCGGAAUCACUGGGCGUAAAGCGUUCGUAGGCGGGAACUUAAGUGAGAUGUGAAAGCGUGUGGCUCAACCAUAUCGUUGUGUCUCAUACUGGGUACCUGGAGGAAGGCAGAGGCAAGUGGAAUUGGCAGUGUAGCAGUGAAAUGCGUAGAGAUUGCCAGGAACACCAAUGGCGAAGGCAGCUUGCUGGGCCUUUUCUGACGCUGAGGAACGAAAGCGUGGGGAGCGAACAGG